rnacentral:tRNA from 1 species
CGGGGUAGAGCUCAGUGGUAGAGCACUUGCUUGGUGUGUACGAGGUCCUGGAUUCAAUCCUCAGUGCCUCUG